rnacentral:misc_RNA from 1 species
UUUCUCUUCCCUCCGGCGACCUCAUCCACGCACAACCAAAAUGGCUUCUCAACUUCCUAGAAUCAAGCUCGGUUCUCAAGGCCUCGAAGUGUCCGCACAGGGCCUCGGCUGCAUGGGCAUGUCCGCCUUCUACGGCCCCCCCAAGCCCGACUCCGACAUGAUCGCUUUAAUCCACCACGCCAUUGGCCGCGGCGUCACUCUUCUCGAUACCUCCGACAUCUACGGCCCAUUCACCAACGAAAUCCUUGUCGGGAAGGCUCUCAAGGACGGCUUCAGAGACAAGGUCGAACUGGCCACCAAAUUCGGAAUUAGUUUCGCCGAUGGGAAGAGGGAGAUCCGCGGAGAGCCAGCCUAUGUAAGAGCUGCUUGCGAGGCCAGUUUGAAACGCCUUGAUGUCGAUUGCAUCGAUCUCUAUUACCAGCAUCGGAUUGACACUAGGGUUCCGAUUGAAGUCACGAUUGGAG